ensembl:lncRNA
GUGGUAUUAGUUGGAGUGGUACAUAUUAAUUAAUACAUGAAUGAAUUUAACUGGUUGUUUUCUUUCAGAGGGCAGGCAACAAUGACAGUUAACAAGUCAUAUCUCUGGGAUCGAUUUUAGAUAGGCCUCCUCCUGUUGAGUUUGAACGGCCUCCCCGUGAUGAGUUGGAACGUCUGCCUCCUUUUGAGUUAGAGCGUCCGCCUCCUGUUCUGAUGCCUCCCACAUCUCACCUAAGGUCAGUGGGGGGGAAAAUAUAUGAAUGCGAGCAAGCACACACACAUGGACCAAACAGAGAAUCACACCAGCCGUUGUGGGAGGGCUAUAGGAAAGCAGACCACUUACAAACAAUGACCACAGCGCCCCUGUUCUCUUUCUUAACUCAGCCAGGUUGGAGUGAAGUUGUAUGGGGAGUCAUAUCUGAGGGACAGUCAUCUGGAGCUGCGAUGUCAUUAGGACAAGGACAGGUUACCAAGUUAGAGGGAAGACAGUUGUAUGGGGAGUCAUAUCUGAGGGACACUCAUCUGGAGCUGCGAUGUCAUUAGGACAAGGACUGGUUGCCAGGUUAGAGGGAAGCAAGCAGAACUGAAAGGAGUUGUCUUCCGAACGACUAGACAGCCUCUCAGAGAGGAUCAAUGGUGAGUGAUUAAAACCAGAUUGGUUGCCAGGUUGGAGACAAUGUGCCAGAGCAGGAGGGGCAGAGAGAGAGAAGCACAGUGGUGUCAUUAUGUUUAAUGAACGAUGAGAUGCCUCAGGGUGUCUCUUAAAGAGAACAGGGGACUCUGACUGCUCAGUGUGCAGACCAAAGACAGCAGAGUGCAGGCUAGAAAGAGCGUCCGCCUGACUUAGGGGUCAUUACUGUUUAUGUGUGUUAUUUUUAUGCUACACUGGUGCGAUGAGGUUUACUGGUGGUCGUGUUCUAGGCCAGUUUACAGGUCUGUGAUAAUGUAAGUGUGUAUGAGUGAGAGCUGUGUAUGUCCCAAGGCCUUUUGUUUCCCAUGAGUUUGUUUCAAAUUAAUCUCCAUUUGAAUUUAUUUAGCUGCUCCACAAUAUUGUCAUCUCAUCUGUAUGUGUGUGUGUGUGUGUGUGUGCUCAUGCUUGUGUAGUGUAUCUCUGUGAAUGUGAGGCCUGCACUAAGCUUGCUGAGCUCUGAAGUGACAUGUUGGGAACCUCUGACACCAGGCUAUGGCCCCUAUCAAGGUUUCCAUCCAGUUUCUUUUUGUUUGGGGGGUGGGCUGAAGUUAAUACUCAAAACAGGUGUGCCAAAUGGAUCUGCAACCCCACAGCCAUACCAUGAAGAUGAAG